rnacentral:lncRNA from 1 species
AGAUCUCCAAGUUAUCGAGUCUUUGAGGGAAGUUGACAAGCAUCCCGGUGACCAGUGUUGCGGCAGUCUGCAUUGCAAAGGACGAGGAUCACUACCUGAGUUGGACAAUCAUCUACAUGUAUAGACUUUCGAUGACUGCUGGUUUGUGUCAUAUGGUUUAAGGGAAUGCUCUAUAGAUUUGUUUUGAUUUGUUUUAAAUUAUUAAUGCUUAGGCUGAUGUCCAAACCAAAAUUCCAAUAGUAUUGCAAUGCAAGGCUGGAAGUCAUUGGAUAUAACUGCUUGCAUAAACUUGCACACUAAUAUUUUGCACCUUAGCCAUGUUACUAGCACAGGGCUGGAAUUCUUUUACACAGUUAUGGGAUCUAGAGUCAACUCAGUAUCACUGCUUAUAUUAACUAUCACUGCUUCUAUUAACUAUCACUGCUUCUAUUAACUAUCACUGCUUUUGUCAUCUUGCACACUAAUAUUUUUGCACUUUGGCACAGGACUACAAUUCGUUGACUUGGUUAUGGAGUCACAAGCCAACUUUGAAGAAUUGCUCUGCCGCAAAAUAUACGAUAUUUUGAAAAUACCACUGCUUAUAUAUUAACUUGCACACUAAUGUUUUGCACUUUAAUUAGCACAGGACUACAAUUCGUUGACUCGGUUAUGGAGUCAAAAACCAACUUUGAAGAAUUGCUCUGUAACAAAAUAUGCAAUAUUUUGAA